AAUAUUAUUAAAAAUAUUAACCUUUAUUGUGCUUUUUUGGUGUAUCUUGACUUUGCCGCGAACACUUUUGCUAAUUAUGAGAAAGAAAUUAUUAAGUGUGGUUAAACUGUCAUGUAUUCUGGUUAGUUCAGGCUGGCAAGGUGGUGGACAUUGAUGGAUUAGGGUCCGUCCACUUUCCUCCCUCACUGCUCGUUGAUUUCUGGUAGUUGACAGAUGUGACUGUUGACAAGGUGGUGGACACUGGAGGGUUAGGGCCCGUCCACUCUCCUCCCUCACUGCCAGUAGAAGUCCGAGUAGCUGGCCUAACAACACCCGUAUCCCUUACCAAAGUUUUAAACAUUUGGUGUAAGGGUCAAGCUGGUGACCCCAAGUUGUGUGUAAAUGAUUAGCGGGUAAAUUGUGACACGCUCGUGCGCUCUGGUUCCUUCUCUGUGAGAGACGUGUGCACGCAUCAGUAAUUGGUUAGCAAAGUCUGAUCCAUCCUUAUAAGGUUAUGAAAGUCCAACCUGACUCGAAUCAUUACUGGUUGGUUAGGUCUGAACUGAAAGUACGAUAUGGCGCCACAACCUUAUCUUAAACAGACUCGUGCGCGCUGGUUACUUGCGUGUGUAAUACACGUACUCUUAACAGCGAUUGGUCAGGAAAGUCUGACCCACCAUGUGAUAUCAUUUACGAUACAUCAGCAAUCAAUUACGGAUCAACGUGGAGAGCGGUCAUUGGUACAUAGCUUCCUUACGUCAUCAAUUGAACUUGUCUAUAAAGUCAUGUAGGUGAUCAUUUUAGUUAUUUGGCUAGUGCUAGCUGUAAUGGACGGUAGUAAGAGCUCUUCGUUACGUCACCGCGCUAUUAGGCAGCAGAUGCUGCAAUGUUUUUGCUCGCGGCGUGGCAGGGUUCACAAGAGUACCAAACAUUCUGACGUUGAAGGGAGAUCGCGUGUUUAUGUAACGUGUGGUAAUAGAGACAUUUCCAAGAGGUGCAUUUAUUAUCAAUGGAUUGAUCCUCGCUGGUUGGGGGAGGCUGAUGUCACCUUAACUGCUGAUGCGGCGCUGCAAGAUGAUUUAUCUGAAUUACAUACAAGUUUGCGUAAAUAGAUGCUGAAUGAUUGAAGUUGUAACCUCCAGACGUAGACGGUUACUUAAAGAAGAAGACAACGUUAUGGAGAAACGUGUUCCGGAAGGCGUUUAUGGCAUGAACAGCGAAUUAACUUUAGUUUAGUCUGACGGACAGUAAUUCAAAUGUAAUCGGUUCCGCUUGUGUAUCUGUUACACAUCAAACUAGGAAGCUUCAAGAAGGUUAUUGUCCACUAGGACGGAUCAAGCAUUACAUCAUCUAUCCACGGAUGUAAAAAGCAAGAAAUUCAGUUGUUCAGUUUAUUGCUUACAAAGUUAAAUUAGUUUGCAUUUCUGUCUCUAAGUCAAAUUAGCCUGCAUUUCUAGCCUAGCCUACUUCAUUUCAAUCAUAGCCAUGUGUCGUUUCGAAUAGUCCAGAUUCCUGAUGGUAUGGAUAGUGUUGUCACACGACUGUCGAUUUCAAUGACGCCUAUUAUUAAUAAAUAUGUUAAAGUA